AAGAUGGCGACCGGCGCACGGGUGAGUAACACGUAUCCAACCUGCCGAUAACUCCGGAAUAGCCUUUCGAAAGAAAGAUUAAUACCGGAUAGUAUACGAAUAUCGCAUGAUAUUUUUAUUAAAGAAUUUCGGUUAUCGAUGGGGAUGCGUUCCAUUAGCUUGUUGGCGGGGUAACGGCCCACCAAGACUACGAUGGAUAGGGGUUCUGAGAGGAAGGUCCCCCACAUUGGAACUGAGACACGGUCCAA
rnacentral:rRNA from 1 species